GAGCGGGUAGCAGGAAUCGAACCCGCAUCGUUAGCUUGGAAGGCUAGGGGUUAUAGUUGAUGUUGGUUGAUUAUUUUUAAUGUCUCUAAUUCAAAACCAAACAUGAAAUUUUGA
rnacentral:rRNA from 1 species